AUUUAGGUGCUGAGUUAGGUGAUGCAAUGCAACGCAAAGGUGGAACCAGUUCUGUCAUUGAAUCCCACUGACAUUCUAUGAUCUGUUUUACCGAGAUGAGAACAAUAAUUUGAGAUGCACCCUGAGCACAAAACGAUUAAGCGCUCAAUUGACCUAGCAAGCCUGCGAGUCUUGGUAUUCGGAAAAAGAGGAAGGGCUCGAUUCUCAUGUAUACAACACCACUCCGUUUUGAUUUCACAUCGGCACGAACUCAUUGCCACACCGAGGUGGCUAUUGUAGCUGCUGCAAUGCGAUGUAAAAUGAAAUCCGCUCAAAGAUUGUCUCCGGUGCAAGUCCUUGGCGAUCAACUUUU